rnacentral:snRNA from 1 species
AGCCAUGCGUUGAGCACAGAGCGAACUAUUCUUUCGCCUUUUACUAAAGAAUACCGUGUGCGCGGCGCUUUAAAUGGCAUACGCUUAUUUUUGAAAGGGUGCACCUCUCCAGGUGCCU